rnacentral:rRNA from 1 species
GACGAACGCUGGCGGCACGCUUAACACAUGCAAGUCGAACGAGCGAUGAGAGCUUGCUCUCAAAGCGAGUGGCGGACGGGUGAGUAACACGUGAGCAACCUGCCUUUAAGAGGGGAAUAACGUUUGGAAACGAACGCUAAUACCGCAUGAUACAGAGGAUUCGCAUGUUUCUUCUGUCAAAGAUUUAUCGCUUAAAGAUGGGCUCGCGUCUGAUUAGCUAGUUGGCGAGGUAACGGCCCACCAAGGCGACGAUCAGUAGCCGUACUGAGAGGUAGAACGGCCACAUUGGGACCGAGACACGGCCCAGCCUCCUACGGGAGGCAGCAGUGGGGAAUAUUGCACAAUGGAGGAAACUUUGAUGCAGCGAUGCCGCGUGAGGGAAGAAGGUUUUCGGAUUGUAAACCUCUGUCUUCAGGGACGAAAAUGACGGUACCUGAGGAGGAAGCUCCGGCUAACUACGUGCCAGCAGCCGCAGUAA